CCUACGGGAGGCAGCAGUGGGGAAUUUUGGACAAUGGGCGAAAGCCUGAUCCAGCAAUGCCGCGUGUGGGAAGAAGGCCUUCGGGUUGUAAACCACUUUUGUACGGAACGAAACGGUUCGCUUUAAUACAGUGGGCUAAUGACGGUACCGUAAGAAUAAGCACCGGCUAACUACGUGCCAGCAGCCGCGGUAAUACGUAGGGUGCGAGCGUUAAUCGGAAUUACUGGGCGUAAAGCGUGCGCAGGCGGUCAUAUAAGACAGUUGUGAAAUCCCCGGGCUCAACCUGGGAAUUGCAUCUGUGACUGUAUAGCUAGAGUACGGUAGAGGGGGAUGGAAUUCCGCGUGUAGCAGUGAAAUGCGUAGAUAUGCGGAGGAACACCGAUGGCGAAGGCAAUCCCCUGGACCUGUACUGACGCUCAUGCACGAAAGCGUGGGGAGCAAACAGGAUUAGAUACCCUGGUAGUCCACGCCCUAAACGAUGUCAACUGUUGUUGGGUGCAUUAGUACUCAGUAACGAAGCUAACGCGUGAAGUUGACCGCCUGGGGAGUACGGCCGCAAGGUUGAAACUUNAAAGGAAAUUGACGGGCGNGNGACGNGCGACGGACGACGACGAGGGAGGAGG
rnacentral:rRNA from 1 species